rnacentral:rRNA from 1 species
GAUGAACGUUGGCGGUGUGCCUAAUACAUGCAAGUCGAACGGAGACUGUAGCAAUACUGUCUUAGUGCGAACGGGUGAGUAACGCGUUGGUGAUCUGCCUCGAAGUGUGGAAUAACCUCCCGAAAGGGAAGCUAAUACCGCAUAGUCUCUCAAGGUUUAGAAAAUUGGGGAGUAAAGGAUUUAUUCGCUUCGAGAGGAGCCUGCGUCCCAUCAGCUAGUUGGUAGGGUAACGGCCUACCAAGGCAAUGACGGGUAGGGGACCUGAGAGGGUGGCCCCCCACAAUGGAACUGAAACACGGUCCAUACACCUACGGGUGGCAGCAGUAGGGAAUAUUAGAAAUGGGCGGAAGCCUGAUCUAGCAACACCGCGUGUGCGAUGAAGGCCUUCGGGUCGUAAAGCACUUUUUGGAGGGAAUAGGAAGGAAGGUACCUCCAGAAUAAGUCUCGGCUAACUACGUG